rnacentral:rRNA from 1 species
UAGUUCCUACGGGGGGCAGCAGUGAGGAAUAUUGGUCAAUGGCCGAGAGGCUGAACCAGCCAAGUCGCGUGAGGGAUGACGGCCCUACGGGUUGUAAACCUCUUUUGUCGGGGAGCAAAGAGAGUCACGUGUGGCUCAUUGAGAGUACCCGAAGAAAAAGCAUCGGCUAACUCCGUGCCAGCAGCCGCGGUAAUACGUAGGUGGCAAGCGUUGUCCGGAUUUAUUGGGCGUAAAGCGAGUGCAGGCGGUUCAAUAAGUCUGAUGUGAAAGCCUUCGGCUCAACCGGAGGAUUGCAUCAGAAAAUG